rnacentral:lncRNA from 1 species
UCCACUGGAUCACUGAUGGAGAGCCGGCGUUCCAUGUCCCGACUCAAGGACGAGGAGGAGGCUGUCGCGGUCGCCGACGAGGGUGGAUGAUCGGCCUGCCCCUUCCACUCCUCCUGUGGCGGGGGUGGUGGAUAGUAAGCGGCGUCCGGCGGAGGAUCGUAGUAAUCUCGCCGAGGAGGGGGCGGAUCGUUCCCUUCUCCGUAGCCACCACGGCGUCCUCCUCCACCGCCCCGUCCUCCUCGCCGGCCGGAGGAUGGAGCAUCGGGUUGCAGCUCCCGGUAGAAAUCGCCUCCUCCCCGGCGGCCGCCGCCACGCCUCGACAUCCGGAGAUCGAUCUCGACAGAGAAGGAAACGUAAACGUACAGAGAACAGAAGAGAAAACGUCAGGGAUGCGAAGGGGCGAGUAGAGAAGAAGAAGAAGAAAGAACAGGUGUGUGGCGUUUAUACAGAGCAGAGUGGGGAGAGCGGAGCGGAGCCGGGCGAGAGGGUGAGAGAGAGGGCGUUUUAAAA